AGUGAACGCUGGCGGUAGGCCUAACACAUGCAAGUCGAACGGCAGCACAGAGGAGCUUGCUCCUUGGGUGGCGAGUGGCGGACGGGUGAGGAAUACAUCGGAAUCUACUCUGUCGUGGGGGAUAACGUAGGGAAACUUACGCUAAUACCGCAUACGACCUAAGGGUGAAAGCAGGGGAUCUUCGGACCUUGCGCUAUUGAAUGACCCGAUGUCGGAUUAGCUAGUUGGCGGGGUAAAGGCCCACCAAGGCGACGAUCCGUAGCUGGUCUGAGAGGAUGAUCAGCCACACUGGAACUGAGACACGGUCCAGACUCCUACGGGAGGCAGCAGUGGGGAAUAUUGGACAAUGGGCGCAAGCCCGGUCCAGCCAUACCGCGUGGGUGAAGAAGGCCUUCGGGUUAUAAAGCCCUUUUGUUGGGAAAGAAAUCCAUCUGGUUAAUACCCGGGUGGGAUGACGGUACCCAAAGAAUAAGCACCGGCUAACUUCGUGCCAGCCGCCGCCGUAA
rnacentral:rRNA from 1 species